UCUAAGAAAACCACUGAUCAGUGAGGCUAAUCAGAAAAGGGGAUUCAGUUUGCUAGGUAGCAUAAAGAUUGGACUCUGGAGCAAUGGAAGGUCAUGUGGUCUGAUGAGCCCAGAUUUACCGUGUUCCAGAGUGAUGGGGGCAUCAGGGUAAGAAGAGGGGCAGAAGAAGUAAUGAACUCAUCAUGUCUAGUUCCUACCAGUCUGUGGGGGUUAGGGUUAUGAUCUGGGGUUGGUCAGGUUCACCAAUGUUAUGUUCCCAAAGAAUGAGGUCAGCUGAUACCUGAAGAUACUGAAUGACCAGGUCUUUCCAUCAGUGGAGUUUUUCUUCACUGAUGACAUGGACAUGUUCCAAGAUGAUGUUAGGAUUUAUGGGCUCACAUUGAGAAUGAGUGGAUCAGAUGGAUUGUCCUCCACAGAGUCCAGACCUCAGCCCCAAUGAGAAUCUCUGGGAUGUUCUGGAGAAGACUUUGUCCCACUCUUCCAUCAUCAAUUAAGAUCUUGGUAGAAAAUGAAUCCAACUCUGGACAGAAAUAAAUGCUGUGACAUUAAAAUGUAGUGUAGUCAAGAGAAAACAACCUGGAGAAGAGCCAUAAAACAAGUCAAUGAAACUGUAGACUUGUGUCAUUGAUAGGAACUGCUUUAGUGGAUUUGGUCAAAUAAACUGCCUUUAAAAGCUG